AGUCCUGGACUGAGCUUCAGAAGAUCUCAGAUCACUGACGUUCUGUCUAGAAGAAUACUCCAAGAUAUAUUUCUAAGUAAUAUUCCUUCUCUUGUUGGGGGAAAUUAGAGAAGAUUUCUACCUGGUGCCAUAUCAACUCAAGGAUGGAGUCAAAUACUGAGAGGCUCUGUCAUCUGUCUUUGGAUCUCCUUCUUCUCUUAGUUUGUUGAAGAAAGGAUGUAUGUCCGAUUCCUCUGCAGUUUCCUGAAAUUCUGGAUACAUAAUGUUACAUAAAUUGUGAAAAUUCUAACAAGGAGCAAACAGCAAAGAACUGAAAUGCUAUACAGACUCCAGUGAGAAAAAACUGAGGUAAUUGGUUUCGGUGUGCUGGUGCUUGAAACUCUAUCCCAGUGCUUCCUUCAACUAAGGCUGCAAAUUGAAAAUGUGAAGAACCUUGCCUGCUUGAACCAGCCUGGGCUUGUGGCAGCAUCAUUCUGUCACUUAAUUCUUCUCACAGAGGUAAUGCCUAUUAAGUGACUUAGCAAGGGCGUGCAUGAUGUAGUCACGAGAUGGAUAUUGGUAACAGUGAUUCCUUGCUGGUACUUUCUAUUAAGUCUAGGUUUCUUGUCACUCAUUGAUCGACCGCACAAAAUCUCACCUGCUAAAUAAUUUGCCCAGGCUUCCACAUCAUUGUACCUGUAUUGAUGAUCCCCAGUGCACAAGAUUACCACGUGAAUGGCAAUGAAAUUUGUGGCGCUGAUACUCAGGGUCUCCACCAGCGAUGUAUAUCACUAUUAAUUUCACUUUGUAUUUCAGAAAGCCGAACCUUUUAAAAUGGAGCUUAUUGCACCAAAAAUAGUUGGAAAUAGAGUAAAACCAAAGAGAAAACCUUAACAACUAUAUAUUUUUAUUUGUUUUAGC
rnacentral:lncRNA from 1 species